rnacentral:rRNA from 1 species
UGGACCUGAUAUCAGGCAAG